AAAAGAGACAGAACUGCAA
rnacentral:snRNA from 1 species